rnacentral:rRNA from 1 species
UACGUAGGUGGCAAGCGUUGUUCGGAUUUACUGGGCGUAAAGGGCGCGUAGGCGGCAAUUCAAGUCAUCUGUGAAAUCUCCGGGCUUAACCCGGAACGGUCAGGUGAUACUGUUUUGCUAGAGUGCGGAAGGGGCAAUCGGAAUUCUCGGUGUAGCGGUGAAAUGCGUAGAUAUCGAGAGGAACACCAGAGGUGAAGACGGGUUGCUGGGCCGACACUGACGCUGACAGCGCGAAAGCCAGGGGAGCAAACGGG